rnacentral:rRNA from 1 species
GAUGAACGCUGGCGGCGUGCCUAAUACAUGCAAGUAGAACGCUGAAGGAGGAGCUUGCUCUUCUGGAUGAGUUGCGAACGGGUGAGUAACGCGUAGGUAACCUGCCUGGUAGCGGGGGAUAACUAUUGGAAACGAUAGCUAAUACCGCAUAACAGUAGAUGUUGCAUGACAUCUACUUGAAAGGUGCAAUUGCAUCACUACCAGAUGGACCUGCGUUGUAUUAGCUAGUUGGUGAGGUAACGGCUCACCAAGGCGACGAUACAUAGCCGACCUGAGAGGGUGAUCGGCCACACUGGGACUGAGACACGGCCCAGACUCCUACGGGAGGCAGCAGUAGGGAAUCUUCGGCAAUGGGGGGAACCCUGAUCGAGCAACGCCGCGUGAGUGAAGAAGGUUUUCGGAUCGUAAAGCUCUGUUGUAAGAGAAGAACGAGUGUGAGAGUGGAAAGUUCACACUGUGACG